AGAAGUAAAACCUCCAUCAGAACCAGGACCAGAAAGGAAAACCUCCUCAGAACCAGGACCAGGAAGGAAAACCUCCGUCAGAACCAGGACCGGAAGUAAUACCUCCGUCAGAACCAGGAACAGAAGUAAAACCUAAGUCCGAACCAGGACCAGGAAGGAAAACCUCCAUCAGAACCAGGAAGGAAAACCUCCGUCAGAACCAGAACCAUGAGUAAAACCUUAGUCAGAACCAGGACCAGGAAGGAAAACCUCCGUCAGAACCAGGAACAGAAGUAAAACCUACGUCCGAACCAGGACCAGGAAGGAAAACCUCCAUCAGAACCAGGAAGGAAAACCUCCGUCAGAACCAGAACCAUGAGUAAAACCUUAGUCAGAACCAGGACCAGGAAGGAAAACCUCCGUCAGAACCAGGAACAGAAGUAAAACCUACGUCCGAACCAGGACCAGGAAGGAAAACCUCCAUCAGAACCAGGAAGGAAAACCUCCGUCAGAACCAGAACCAUGAGUAAAACCUUAGUCAGAACCAGGACCG